UGGGGAAUUUUCCGCAAUGGGCGCAAGCCUGACGGAGCAAUACCGCGUGAGGGAGGAAGGCUUUUGGGUUGUAAACCUCUUUUGUCAAGGAAGAAGUUCUGACGUUACUUGACGAAUAAGCAUCGGCUAACUCCGUGCCAGCAGCCGCGGUAAGACGGGGGAUGCAAGUGUUAUCCGGAAUCACUGGGCGUAAAGCGUUUGUAGGUGGUUUAGUAAGUCUAUUAUUAAAUCUUGAAGCUUAACUUCAAAACUGUAAUAGAAACUACUAGACUUGAGGAUAGUAGGGGUAAAGGGAAUUUCCAGUGGAGCGGUGAAAUGCGUAGAGAUUGGAAGGACCACCGAUGGCGAAGGCACUUUACUGGGCUAUUUCUGACACUAAGAGACGAAAGCUAGGGUAGCAAACGGGAUUAGAUACCCCCGUAGUCC
rnacentral:rRNA from 1 species